rnacentral:rRNA from 1 species
AUUGAACGCUGGCGGCAGGCCUAACACAUGCAAGUCGAACGAGUGGCGGACGGGUGAGUAAUGUCUGGGAAACUGCCUGAUGGAGGGGUAUAACUGCUGGAAACGGUAGCUAAUACCGCAUACCAUCGGAUGUGCCCAGAUGGGAUUAGCUAGUAGGUGGGGUAAAGGCUCACCUAGGAGACGAUCCAUAGCUGGUCUGAGAGGGUGACCAGCCACACUGGAACUGAGACACGGUCCAGACUCCUACGGGAGGCAGCAGGGGGGAAUAUUGGACAAUGGGCGAAAGCCUGAUGCAGCCAUGCCGCGGGUAUGAAGAAGGCCUUCGGGUUGUAAAGUACUUUCGGCGGGGAGGCGGUACCCAAAGAAGAAGCAACGGCUAACUCCGUGCCAGCAGCCGCGGUAAUAC